rnacentral:lncRNA from 1 species
UUGCUUCAAAUGACCAAGUCUGGCCUAAUGCAGUUACUUUCCAUAAUCCCUCACUUUUGCCUAGAUUGCCCUUUCGGGUUCAAUCUAGCGGGAUGAUUAUUUUCUGUUUAUGUCUCUAAUUUGUGCCUGGACCUGCCUUUCUUGUUUUCAAUCCAUCGAGAUUCUCAUUUUUCCUAAGCCUCCCUUUUGAGUUUUCAACUUAGCCAGUUGUUCU